rnacentral:rRNA from 1 species
UACGGAGGGGGCUAGCGUUGUCCGAAGUUACUGGGCGUAAAGGGCGUGUAGGCGGUCAGGUAAGUGGAAUGUGAAAGCCCCCGGCUCACCCGGGGAUCUGCAUCCCAAACUGCCUGGCUUGAGUACGGGAGAGGAUGAGGGAAUUCCUGGUGUAGCGGUGAAAUGCGUAGAUAUCAGGAGGAACACCGGUGGCGAAGGCGCUCAUCUGGCCCGAUACUGACGCUGAGGCGCGAAAGCUAGGGGAGCAAACGGG